rnacentral:rRNA from 1 species
UGGGGAAUUUUGGACAAUGGGCGAAAGCCUGAUCCAGCAAUGCCGCGUGUGUGAAGAAGGCCUUCGGGUUGUAAAGCACUUUUGUCCGGAAAGAAAUCCUUGGCUCUAAUACAGUCGGGGGAUGACGGUACCGGAAGAAUAAGCACCGGCUAACUACGUGCCAGCAGCCGCGGUAAUACGUAGGGUGCAAGCGUUAAUCGGAAUUACUGGGCGUAAAGCGUGCGCAGGCGGUUUGCUAAGACCGAUGUGAAAUCCCCGGGCUCAACCUGGGAACUGCAUUGGUGACUGGCAGGCUAGAGUAUGGCAGAGGGGGGUAGAAUUCCACGUGCAGCAGUGAAAUGCGUAGAGAUGUGGAGGAAUACCGAUGGCGAAGGCAGCCCCCUGGGCCAAUACUGACGCUCAUGCACGAAAGCGUGGGGAGCAAACAGGAUUAGAUACCCUGGUAGUCCACGCCCUAAACGAUGUCAACUAGUUGUUGGGGAUUCAUUUCCUUAGUAACGUAGCUAACGCGUGAAGUUGACCGCCUGGGGAGUACGGUCGCAAGAUUAAAACUCAAAGGAAUUGACGGGGUCAUAGCUGUUUCCU